UCCGUAGGUGAACCUGCGGAGGGAUCAUUACUGAGUUUUUAACUCUCCAAACCAUGUGAACUUACCACUGUUGCCUCGGUGGUCGGUGCUGGAAACAGUGCUGCCACCGGUGGACUACUAAACUCUUGUUAAUUUUUGUCAAAUCUGAAUCAAACUAAGAAAUAAGUUAAAACUUUCAACAACGGAUCUCUUGGUUCUGGCAUCGAUGAAGAACGCAGCGAAAUGCGAUACGUAGUGUGAAUUGCAGAAUUCAGUGAAUCAUCGAAUCUUUGAACGCACAUUGCGCCCUUUGGUAUUCCAAAGGGCAUGCCUGUUCGAGCGUCAUUUGUACCCUCAAGCUUUGCUUGGUGUUGGGCGUCUUGUCUCCAGUCUGCUGGAGACUCGCCUUAAAAUUAUUGGCAGCCACCUCUCUGGCUUCGAGCGCAGCACUAUUGCGCCCAGUCUUUGGGAGUGUGGUUACCCAGAAGCCCUCUUUUCGGUUGACCUCGGAUCAGGUAGGGAUACCCGCUGAACUUAA
rnacentral:rRNA from 1 species